AUUUAGAAAACAUAUGCAGGGCUGAGUACUAAAAAGGUACUCAAUGGUCACAUGCCGAAAUAACUUUAAAGCUUGCUCUUAGAGCUAUAUAUUGACCUUGCCAUCUCAAUCAUCACACAGGAGUUUUAUUUGAAUAACCUGUGCACGCCAAAACUGUAAAACUUUUCUAUAAUAAUCAUAAACUUCAUAUGCGUCUGCAGACAUACUUCUUUGUACUCUACCAUAUCUGCAAUGAUAUCUGUGUGCCGAGAAGGUGGCCACCUUUUACGGUCACUGACCGGCCGAUACGCUAAACCGGCUCACGGUCCUAGACCGGCCGAUACGCCAAACCAGCUCACGGACCUAGAUCGGCCGAUACGCUAAACCGGCUCACGGUCCUAGGCCGGCCGAUAUGCUAGAUCGGCUCACGGUCCCUUGUGUACACUAAUCCUGUCUAACAUCUGGAUAGAACAGGAUCCGAAUUCGAUUAACUUCUGGUGCCAGAUAGGUAUUAUACAAGCUCAUAAAAGUUUUGGCAAGUCAACAACUUUAAUAUAACUUCAUUCAUGUAAACAUCAUGAAAUAGUGUGCACAUCAGAUUUUGAGUUUAGAAAGCCCACCUGAUCGUGGUCUGACGACACAAGUGAUUCUGAACUAAUGCUUCACCUUUUUCCCUUGUAUUUUGACCUUCAUUAUGAAUAACUGACUAAUGAAUAAUGAGAACAUGAUAUGGACUUGACUUGAAAAGAAUACUUAUGUUGGUUUUAAGGUGAUAGUUCUAUUGGAACUUAUGAAAUGAUGACUGGUUGCUACCUGGUGAACUUAUCAAUAAAUACCAACAUAUUAUCUAAACCAAAACUUAAACUACGAUAAUCGUAAUUCUGGCGUUAAUCAUAACUCCACUCGCUCUAAUUAAAAUAAUUCUACAUGUCUAGGCCAUUUAAUAAAUCAAGCUAAUUAUUAGCUAAUAAUCCUUCAUUUAAGCUUAUUAAGCUUAAAUUAAAAUACUAUUGAGUUCAAUCAAAUAAUUAAUGGCCCAACAUAAUUUAUUAUUACUAAUCCCAUUGAGAUUAAUAGGCCCAAGUACCAGCUUAAACCCAAUUACUAGUUUGAGCCCAAUUAACCAUUUUCAGAUUUAAAUAAAUUAAAAUUAAUAACCUUCUUUAAAACAUAAAACAAGUUAAUCUCUCUGUUUUCUAUUUCUUCCCCACGCAGACAUCUCUCCCUCUCUUCGCUCCCUCUCUCGGCCGCCUCUCUCUCCUCCCUUCUCCGGCGAGCGUCGCCGGCUCGCGCCGCUUCCGGCGCGGCGAGGCUGACGCAUCUUCUCCCCUUCCGCUUUCUUCCCUCUCCUUCCUACAUUUAAUUCCCAAAUUCUAAAAUCAAUUCAGCCUAGGGUUUUCAAUCUCCCCCAUCAAUUUUACUCCUCUGGAGAAUCCCGGCGAAUAACGUCGUCGCCGCCCCAGCUCGUCGGAUUUCUGCUCCUCCGUCGUUCUCCCUACCUCAGGAAUCGAUGAUUCAAGGGAUCUCCAGUUCGUCUACUGCUCAAGAUCCAAUAUUUAUAUGUUAUAAACCUAUUUUCCUUUAUUGCUUAUUGUAAAACUGAGAUUUUGAUGGUGAGGAAACAAUACUGUAUCAUUACUAUGCUUAUGUGUAGCUAUGUCUUUUCUGCUGCUCUUGAUUGUUCCUUUUAUACACAAGGAAUUGAUUGAAUUGCAUACAAGAAAA